AGGCCAUGAGGGUCGCCUCGGAGAUGGCGAAUUGCUGCAGGAUGCCUGAAGUCAAGACAGCAAAAGACAAGUUUAAUUGGCUGAAGAACUGACACGAAGAAGACGAGAGGAGCACUUGACGGCUGCCACCGAGGACAAAGACGAUAAGACGGGAUUUCUCUUUUAUCAGCCGGACACCAAGUCGAGGAGGACAAGCGGGUGGCUCUCGCCGCUGCCGAAAAGUCGAUUAGCGCGCUUCGUUUCAAGUCAAGUGCCAAUCAAGUAAGUGGCAACAUUUUUUUUUGGUCCAACAUUCACCUUGUGUGUCCAUUCAGAUUCAAAGGUGAAGGAACUCAUUAGAAAUCAGUGGUGACAAGGUCAAGGUCGCUGUUGGAAUACUUCACAAAAGCCAAUUUGGCUUUUUUUGUGGUCUUUGUACAUUAAUGAACACGGCGAUGAAAGGAAGUUAUGAGCCUGAGCCAAAUUACAUCCCCAGCUCAUUUCAAAAAUGUUUUAAAAAAAAAGGUAAUAAACUACAAUUCAAACUGCAUGCCGCUCUGUAAUACCGAAAUAAAUACAUCCCCUGGCGGAGCUAAGAGGGGGGGCCAUGGGGGCAUUGGCACCCCCUGAAGGACUUUGGGAUAUUUCCAGAUUUUUCAGGGAUUUUUUUUCCCACAUAGUGGCAUUAAGCUUACUUUGGCUUGUUACUCCCUCUUAAUAUAGACUCACGUAAAUAUUAUGUUAGACUGAUGCUGUGUUUGCAUAUUUUGCAGCAAUUGAUUGAUGCAAUUCCAUUAAUCUUCUUGUUCUUACUCCUCCUUUUCCGUGUCGUGUAUUGUUUGUUCUUUCAUACAUUCUAUCUCCCAUCUUGGAAA